rnacentral:rRNA from 1 species
AGUGAACGCUGGCGGUAGGCCUAACACAUGUAAGUCGAACGGCAGCACAGGAGAGCUUGCUCUCUGGGUGGCGAGUGGCGGACGGGUGAGGAAUACAUCGGAAUCUACUCUGUCGUGGGGGAUAACGUAGGGAAACUUACGCUAAUACCGCAUACGACCUACGGGUGAAAGCAGGGGACCUUCGGGCCUUGCGCGAUUGAAUGAGCCGAUGUCGGAUUAGCAAGUUGGCGGGGUAAAGGCCCACCAAGGCGACGAUCCGUAGCUGGUCUGAGAGGAUGAUCAGCCACACUGGAACUGAGACACGGUCCAGACUCCUACGGGAGGCAGCAGUGGGGAAUAUUGGACAAUGGGCGCAAGCCUGAUCCAGCCAUACCGCGUGGGUGAAGAAGGCCUUCGGGUUGUAAAGCCCUUUUGUUGGGAAAGAAAUCCAGCUGGCUAAUACCCGGUUGGGAUGACGGUACCCAAAGAAUAAGCACCGGCUAACUUCGUGCCAGCAGCCGCAGUAA